rnacentral:rRNA from 1 species
UUAAAUUGAAGAGUUUGAUCAUGGCUCAGAUUGAACGCUGGCGGCAGGCCUAACACAUGCAAGUCGAACGGUAACAGGAAGCAGCUUGCUGCUUUGCUGACGAGUGGCGGACGGGUGAGUAAUGUCUGGGAAACUGCCUGAUGGAGGGGGAUAACUACUGGAAACGGUAGCUAAUACCGCAUAACGUCGCAAGACCAAAGAGGGGGACCUUCGGGCCUCUUGCCAUCGGAUGUGCCCAGAUGGGAUUAGCUAGUAGGUGGGGUAAAGGCUCACCUAGGCGACGAUCCCUAGCUGGUCUGAGAGGAUGACCAGCCACACUGGAACUGAGACACGGUCCAGACUCCUACGGGAGGCAGCAGUGGGGAAUAUUGCACAAUGGGCGCAAGCCUGAUGCAGCCAUGCCGCGUGUAUGAAGAAGGCCUUCGGGUUGUAAAGUACUUUCAGCGGGGAGGAAGGGAGUAAAGUUAAUACCUUUGCUCAUUGACGUUACCCGCAGAAGAAGCACCGGCUAACUCCGUGCCAGCAGCCGCGGUAAUACGGAGGGUGCAAGCGUUAAUCGGAAUUACUGGGCGUAAAGCGCACGCAGGCGGUUUGUUAAGUCAGAUGUGAAAUCCCCGGGCUCAACCUGGGAACUGCAUCUGAUACUGGCAAGCUUGAGUCUCGUAGAGGGGGUAGAAUUCCAGGUGUAGCGGUGAAAUGCGUAGAGAUCUGGAGGAAUACCGGUGGCGAAGGCGGCCCCCUGGACGAAGACUGACGCUCAGGUGCGAAAGCGUGGGGAGCAAACAGGAUUAGAUACCCUGGUAGUCCACGCCGUAAACGAUGUCGACUUGGAGGUUGUGCCCUUGAGGCGUGGCUUCCGGAGCUAACGCGUUAAGUCGACCGCCUGGGGAGUACGGCCGCAAGGUUAAAACUCAAAUGAAUUGACGGGGCCCGCACAAGCGGUGGAGCAUGUGGUUUAAUUCGAUGCAACGCGAAGAACCUUACCUGGUCUUGACAUCCACGGAAGUUUUCAGAGAUGAGAAUGUGCCUUCGGGAACCGUGAGACAGGUGCUGCAUGGCUGUCGUCAGCUCGUGUUGUGAAAUGUUGGGUUAAGUCCCGCAACGAGCGCAACCCUUAUCCUUUGUUGCCAGCGGUCCGGCCGGGAACUCAAAGGAGACUGCCAGUGAUAAACUGGAGGAAGGUGGGGAUGACGUCAAGUCAUCAUGGCCCUUACGACCAGGGCUACACACGUGCUACAAUGGCGCAUACAAAGAGAAGCGACCUCGCGAGAGCAAGCGGACCUCAUAAAGUGCGUCGUAGUCCGGAUUGGAGUCUGCAACUCGACUCCAUGAAGUCGGAAUCGCUAGUAAUCGUGGAUCAGAAUGCCACGGUGAAUACGUUCCCGGGCCUUGUACACACCGCCCGUCACACCAUGGGAGUGGGUUGCAAAAGAAGUAGGUAGCUUAACCUUCGGGAGGGCGCUUACCACUUUGUGAUUCAUGACUGGGGUGAAGUCGUAACAAGGUAACCGUAGGGGAACCUGCGGUUGGAUCACCUCCUUACCUUAAAGAAGC